rnacentral:rRNA from 1 species
UAGGGAAUCUUCGGCAAUGGGGGGAACCCUGACCGAGCAACGCCGCGUGAGUGAAGAAGGUUUUCGGAUCGUAAAGCUCUGUUGUUAAGGAAGAACGAGUGUGAGAAUGGAAAGUUCAUACUGUGACGGUACUUAACCAGAAAGGGAUGGCUAACUACGUGCCAGCAGCCGCGGUAAUACGUAGGUCCCGAGCGUUGUCCGGAUUUAUUGGGCGUAAAGCGAGCGUAGGCGGUUAGGAAAGUCUGAAGUGAAAGGCAGUGGCUCAACCAAUGUAGGCUUUGGAAACUGUUUAACUUGAGUGCAGAAGGGGGGAGUGGAAUUCCAUGUGUAGCGGUGAAAUGCGUAGAUAUAUGGAGGAACACCGGUGGCGAAGGCGGCUCUCUGGUCUAUGACUGACGCUGAGGCUCGAAAGCGUGGGGAGCGAACAGG